GGGGAUGUAGCUUAGUGGGAGAGUGCUUGCCUAGCAUGCAUGAAGCCCUGGGUUCGAUUCCUCAGUACCACCU
rfam:Dipodomys ordii contig_12008, whole genome shotgun sequence.